rnacentral:rRNA from 1 species
UAGUGGCGAACGGGUGAGUAAGCACCCCUUUUUUACCGUGUAGUGGGGGUAACCCGGCUAAAGUCGGAUUAUUACCGCAUGAGAUUUAUGGAUGAAAGCAGGGGAUUGUAAGACCUUGCGCUAUAUGAGCGGCCGAUGUCGGAUUAUCUAUUUGGUGGGGUAAAGGCCUACCAAGGCUACGAUCCGUAGCGGGUCUGAGAGGAUGAUCAGCCACAUUGGGACUGAGACACGGCCCAAACUCCUACGGGAGGCAGCAGUGGGGAAUAUUGGACAAUGGGCGCAAGCCUGAUCCAGCCAUGCCGCGUGAGUAAUAAAGGCCCUAGGGUUGUAAAGCUCUUUUGUGCGGGA